CGCAUAUGAUUUACGUACAUUCACUGCUUGUUUAGUUGGACGUUGUAAAUGAGUGCGUCCAAACCAUCAGGUAACACCAACGUGCCCGCGAUUAGAACGAUUACAAGAAGAUUACAAACAUGUCUGGAAGGGAAGGAGGAAAAAAGAAGCCUUUGAAGGCUGCAAAGAAGCAAAAAGAUGAUCUUGAUGAUGAAGAUCUUGCAUUUAAACAGAAACAAAGAGAAGAGCAAAAAGCCUUAAGUCAAAAGGCAAAGGAACUGUCUGGGAAGAAAGGACCAAUUGGUGGCUCAGGCAUAAAGAAAUCAGGAAAGAAAUGACCCCUGGAGAAUAGAGGGGGAUUAUUGGGAAAGUGGGAAGACGUUAUUCUGAAUCACUUAACAGACAUGAUCAUGGAUUCACAUAUAAUAAAGUGAACACCUCAUUGUCAUUGGACUCUGUUUUAAUCAUCACAACCAUGCUCUGGAGAAGAAGUUAGCUGGAUAUCAUUUCUCUCAAAAUUUUUAGCAAGAUUUAAUAAAUUAGAGUGUAAAUGCACAGAACAUAUAUUUACCCUAAUCCUUGUGAAUACAGACAAGCUUUUGACUGUUUUAGAAGUAUCAUGUUUUACAAUUUCACUUCCAGUAGUUUACAAAGCAUGGUUGUAGACAUAAUCAAUAAUUGUGUUGUUUGGUUGUCUUGUAAAAAUAUUAGGGAGAUCGUAAUUUAAUCUGAAGCUGUGAAUGAACACUCUUUAUCUUCAGUUUUUUAUCCCUGUCUAAAUGUAAAUUUUGAUGUCCUUAGCUGAUAAAAAAAAACAUUGUGUUCAAUAGAUGUUCACAUAAAUGAUGCAUUGUGCAAUACAUUUAAGUGUAAACAUACAGGUUUAUGUAAAAACAAAGGAAAAUUUCUUAAAUAUCUUUCUUCACAAUAACAUUUUGCUUUUGUUUAUCAGAUGUAAAAAAAUAUUUUAAAAGAGAUGCUGACAUAAUAUUGGAAAAAAUAAAAUUACAAAAUGAAACAAGAA